UACGGGGGGGGCAAGCGUUGUUCGGAAUUACUGGGCGUAAAGGGCUCGUAGGCGGCCAACUAAGUCAGACGUGAAAUCCCUCGGCUUAACCGGGGAACUGCGUCUGAUACUGGAUGGCUAGAGGUUGGGAGAGGGAUGCGGAAUUCCAGGUGUAGCGGUGAAAUGCGUAGAUAUCAGGAGGAAUACCGAUGGCGAAGGCAGGUCUCUGGGCUAUAACUGACGCUCAUGCACGAAAGCGUGGGGAGCAAACAGG
rnacentral:rRNA from 1 species